rnacentral:tRNA from 1 species
GCGAGCGUAGCUCAGUUGGUAGAGUGCCACCUUGCCAAGGUGGAUGUCGAGGGUUCGAGUCCCUUCGCUCGCA